AUGGUUCUGCCAAACAGCAACAUACAUUUAUAGUAGUAAGACUCUGUUUUCAGGUGAAAAUCUUAAGUUGAUUUGGGUUCUGAAUGACCUCUAUCUGGGUGCCCUAGGGUUCUAUAUCUCCAGUAAUAAUCAAAUAUUUUUUAACUGAAGAGAUUAUCAAAUAUCGGUCUACCUUUAUGGGCACAUGAUAGUAUCCUUCUUGGCUAUAUUUAUUGGUUUUCAUUGUGAAGUUUAGCUUAGUUUAUGGUGAUUUACCUUUUUUGAUUGGUUAUUGUGUACUAGGUUGAAGUACUGUGGAGCAAGGGGGUUAAGAAAUUGCCUCCGCUUCCUCCUCUGCCUGUGAAAGGCCGGAAUCUCUCAAAAGGAGAACUAUCAGACAAGUCGGUGGGCAUAUGAUAAAACAAGAAGUUUCUCUAGUAUUGACUUUCUAAUAUGUUGUUUUCUUAUCUAUUUCUUGUCCACUUCAUGUAUAGUGUUGGAAUGGUGUAGCAGAAAGACAUGAAGUGCUUGCUGAAAAGCACAAACGAGGUGCAGCAACAAGACGUCCGAGAACAAAGAAGAAAUCUAAGAUGACAUGGUCUAAAAAUGGAGGUAUGCGUAGGGUUUGUGUUUGGGGUUUUCUUUUUCUAAAGCAUUAACCUACCGUGUCACAUUUCAUCCACGAUGUUGACAUAUGCAUAGUGUCGUAAUCCUUCCCAUCAACUGUGAUGCCUGCACAAUAUCAGGGGCUUAUUCAAAACAGUGGAACCAGUUAUGGCCAUGCAAAUCCUAGCUACAACUUCGAAGGGAGUAAUUCGAGCCACAUACCAGAAAUGAUUAACAUUGACAGACCAUUACACCGAAUUCCUCAAAGAAUGGAGACAUAGGGACCAUCAUCGUUGAGAUGUCAUAUCUGGGAUAUGAAAGAUGGGUUAUUUCCUGUCAUCCAAACGAUGCUGAUAAAGAGUAGCAAGAUGCCUUGCAACCAAUUGAUGCGCUAAUUUGGUUGUAAGUAAUCCAGUUAUUACUCCAGUUGGUGAUUUUCUCUCUUGGUUGAUCCACGUUAAUCAUUUAUGAGAUGCUUCAAUCAUAUUCAUCCGUCAAAGGCUCACCGGGUCAGGAGAAGGACAUGAUAGCAGUAGCCUCUCAAAUUGGAUUUUAUUGAUCAUGUAUCAAUGAUUGCGAUGCGACAUUGAUGGUGAGAAGCAAACAGCCACAAUUGUAUUGAUAGUUUGACCAAUUCUCAUGCAAAAACAAAUAGCAUAGUCCUUUCCCGCAAAUUGCAAGACCUAUCUACAAGAUUGCUUCCAUCUUGGAAAUUGGUGCCAGCAAUGCUUGUUAACCAUGACCCUUCUGCAUAAACAUUUUGUUCUCAUGUUGGUAAC
rnacentral:lncRNA from 1 species